AACCAUAGAAACCUGCGGAGUACCUGCGGAAGGAUCAUUACAGAGUUGCAAAACACCCACAAACCAUCGCGAAUCUUACCCGUACGGUUGCCUCGGCGCUGGCGGUCCGGAAGGCCCUCGGGCCCCCGGACCCUCGGGUCCCCCGCUCGCGGGGGGCUGCCCGCCGGAGUGCCGAAACCAAACUCUUGAUAUUUUAUGUCUCUCUGAGUAAACUUUUAAAUAAGUCAAAACUUUUAACAA
rnacentral:misc_RNA from 1 species